GACGAACGCUGGCGGCGUGCUUAACACAUGCAAGUCGAACGGAAAGGCCCUGCUUUUGUGGGGUGCUCGAGUGGCGAACGGGUGAGUAACACGUGAGUAACCUGCCCUUGACUUUGGGAUAACUUCAGGAAGCUGGGGCUAAUACCGGAUAGGAGCUCCUGCUGCAUGGUGGGGGUUGGAAAGUUUCGGCGGUUGGGGAUGGACUCGCGGCUUAUCAGCUUGUUGGUGGGGUAGUGGCUUACCAAGGCUUUGACGGGUAGCCGGCCUGAGAGGGUGACCGGCCACAUUGGGACUGAGAUACGGCCCAGACUCCUACGGGAGGCAGCAGUGGGGAAUAUUGCACAAUGGGCGGAAGCCUGAUGCAGCAGCGCCGCGUGCGGGAUGACGGCCUUCGGGUUGUAAACCGCUUUCGCCUGUGACGAAGCGUGAGUGACGGUAAUGGGUAAAGAAGCACCGGCUAACUACGUG
rnacentral:rRNA from 1 species